UACGAAGGGUGCAAGCGUUACUCGGAAUUACUGGGCGUAAAGCGUGCGUAGGUGGUUUGUUAAGUCUGCUGUGAAAGCCCCGGGCUCAACCUGGGAAUGGCAGUGGAUACUGGCAAGCUAGAGUGCGGUAGAGGGUAGUGGAAUUCCCGGUGUAGCGGUGAAAUGCGUAGAGAUCGGGAGGAACACCAGUGGCGAAGGCGGCUACCUGGACCAGCACUGACACUGAGGCACGAAAGCGUG
rnacentral:rRNA from 1 species